CAAGUCGAGGGGAAAACGACAUCGAAAGCUCGCUUUUGAUUGGGCGUCGACCGGCGCACGGGUGAGUAACGCGUAUCCAACCUGCCCACCACUUGGGGAUAACCUUGCGAAAGUAAGACUAAUACCCAAUGACGUCUCUAGAAGACAUCUGAAGGAGAUUAAAGAUUUAUCGGUGAUGGAUGGGGAUGCGUCUGAUUAGCUUGUUGGCGGGGUAACGGCCCACCAAGGCGACGAUCAGUAGGGGUUCUGAGAGGAAGGUCCCCCACAUUGGAACUGAGACACGGUCCAAACUCCUACGGGAGGCAGCAGUGAGGAAUAUUGGUCAAUGGGCGAGAGCCAGAACCAGCCAAGUAGCGUGCAGGAUGACGGCCCUAUGGGUUGUAAACUGCUUUUAUAAGGGAAUAAAGUGUGUCUCGUGAGACUUUUUGCAUGUACCUUAUGAAUAAGGACCGGCUAAUUCCGUGCCAGCAGCCGCGGUAAUACGGAAGGUCCGGGCGUUAUCCGGAUUUAUCGGGUUUAAAGGGAGCGUAGGCCGGAGAUUAAGCGUGUUGUGAAAUGUAGACGCUCAACGUCUGCACUGCAGCGCGAACUGGUUUCCUUGAGUACGCACAAAGUGGGCGGAAUUCGUGGUGUAGCGGUGAAAUGCUUAGAUAUCACGAAGAACUCCGAUUGCGAAGGCAGCUCACUGGAGCGCAACUGACGCUGAAGCUCGAAAGUGCGGGUAUCGAACAGGAUUAGAUACCCUGGUAGUCCGCACGGUAAACGAUGGAUGCCCGCUGUUGGUCUGAAUAGGUCAGCGGC
rnacentral:rRNA from 2 species